rnacentral:rRNA from 1 species
UACGUAGGGGGCAAGCGUUAUCCGGAUUCACUGGGUGUAAAGGGAGCGUAGACGGCGACGCAAGUCUGGAGUGAAAGCCCGGGGCCCAACCCCGGGACUGCUCUGGAAACUGCGUCGCUGGAGUACGGGAGGGGCAGGCGGAAUUCCUGGUGUAGCGGUGAAAUGCGUAGAUAUACGGAGGAACACCAGUGGCGAAGGCGGAUUGCUGGACAGUAACUGACGCUGAGGCGCGAAAGCGUGGGGAGCAAACAGG